CUUCUUUUCCUUUCAUUUCACAAAGCUUUUAAUUUUUUAUUUGUCUUUUGCUCUCACCGAAACCGCCCUUUUCAAAGGCUAUGGGUUCUUCUUCUUUUGCCGUUGAUGGUUAGGGUUUCGUAGGGGCGUCAUCGGAAUGUUCCAGAAGCUCCCUUCUUCUUUCUGUAGCCUCUCCAAUUCUGUUAUUCGACGGGCUUGAUUUUCUUUUCUGCAGUAGCCACUCUGUUGUGAGUUGAAUGUCGUAGUUUAUGACUAAUUUGACCAGCAUCAAUGCUCCAAAAAUCGUGAUUAUCUAACUCUUGAAGGUAUAGUUGAAGGAGGAACUGUGAGGAAAGACAUUUGAGUGACUUUCCGAGAGGACUUGUAGGAGUGAGCUGGGACUACAAUUGCAAGAAACACUAGAGGAAGAGAUCUAGAUGUGGGUUGGACCAAGAGAGAUAUAUAUGAAAAGCAACCAACAUCCAGUUUUAUUUUUAUUUAUUUUUUUCAUUUUUGUUUUGAUAUCACGGAAUUUUGUGGUGCAAUUUUCUUAUUUCAGUUUUUGUUUCAUUUGGCUUAGGUGGAAAAAUGCUUUAGAGCAAUCCUAACCUUAGCUUGGUAUGUAAUAGCUUCUUAACGUGUAGGGUGAGGUCAUUCUUGUCUAGUUUAUGUUUUCCUGUUUUUAUGUUUUCUUGUUCUUUAUGUUUUCUAUGUACAAGUUUUGUGCUUGUGAUAUGCAUGUUGGGUUUAUGUUUUAUAA